AACGAACGCUGGCGGCAUGCCUAACACAUGCAAGUCGAACGAGAUCUUCGGGUCUAGUGGCGCACGGGUGCGUAACGCGUGGGAAUCUGCCCUUUGGUUCGGAAUAACAGUUGGAAACGACUGCUAAUACCGGAUGAUGACGAAAGCCCAAAGGGUUAUCGCCAGAGGAUGAGCCAGCGUGGGAUUAGCUAGUUGGUGUGGUAAAGGCGCACCAAGGCAACGAUCCUUAGCUGGUCUGAGAGGAUGGUCAGCCACGCUGGGACUGAGACACGGCCCAGGCUCCUACGGGAGGCAGCAGUGGGGAAUAUUGGACAAUGGGCGAAAGCCUGAUCCAGCAAUGCCGCGUGAGUGAUGAAGGCCUUAGGGUUGUAAAGCUCUUUUACCCGGGAUGAUAAUGACAGUACCGGGAGAAUAAGCUCCGGCUAACUCCGUGCCAGCCGCCGCAGUAA
rnacentral:rRNA from 1 species